UCUAAUGUGGCAGAAUAGUGCAAUAAAUUUAAGCUUUAUAUAAAAAGAAAAAUCUUUUAUUAGAA
rnacentral:tRNA from 1 species